GCGAGGGGCUGGCGCGGUGCUUGUCGGGAGGACGGCGUGCGGGGUCGGCUCUGGGCGGUGGUGGCUCUGGGAGCCAUGGUGGGUGGCGAGGCCGCUGCCGCGGUGGAGGAGCUGAUUUCCGGGGUGCGACAGGCGGCCGACUUCGCCGAGCAGUUCCGGUCCUACUCCGAAAGCGAGAAGCAAUGGAAGGCUCGCAUGGAAUUCAUCCUGCGCCACCUGCCCGACUACCGCGACCCGCCAGACGGAGGCGGCCGCCUGGACCAGCUGCUGUCCCUCUCCAUGGUCUGGGCCAAUCACCUCUUCUUGGGCUGCAGUUACAAUAAAGGCCUUCUGGACAAGGUAAUGGAAAUGGCGGAUGGAAUCGAAGUGGAAGACUUGCCACAGUUUACCACCAGAAGUGAAUUAAUGAAAAAGAAACAGAAGUCGAGCCAUCUCCGACUCCACAGGCUACUCUUGUCCCGUACCCAAGCAUCAAAGCUAAGGAUUUCGCACAUUUUCAUCAUCGGCUGCAGGUUUAGAAAGGAGGCUGGGAUGAACUGACCACACCAGCUCCUUAAGAACCCUGGUAUCACCAACACAAGGAUGCGGUGGGAAUCUGUCUGGAUUGGCUUUUUAAAAGUCUUCAUUCUUCGAGUAGCUGUCACUGUGAAACACCAACCCAGAACCAUAACAUCGCCAACUAUGUUCUACAGUGAUUUCCCACAGGCCACCCAGAACUGCACACCUUUACGAUAUUUUCUUCUUCAGGAGUGCUGCCAUCCACCUGAGCCGGUGGACUGUGGUAUUCUUGGCAAAAGAUCUUGUUUGAAAAGGAGGAAGGGAAGAAGGUAACUCCAUCUUCAGAGCUUAAGAGAAGCCUUUUGGUGGUUUAUUUUCUUUAAUUUUGAGACAGGGUCUCCGUCUGUAAUUCAGGCUAGCCUCAAACUCACAGUGAUCCUCCUGCCUCAGCCUUCCAAGUGCUGGGAUAACAGGCGUAUGCCAUCACCUGGGCCCUUGCUUUUAAGAGGUGCGCCUUAAAUGUGCUAGUGUUUUCCUUUUGGUAGCUUUUGAGACCUCAUAGAGAGGGUUCUGUGUCCAGGAAGGGUGACUGACUAAGGGGUUUAGUUUCAGAGGCUCUGAUCCCCUUAACACAAGUUCCCAACCCGAGGCACCGUAAGGACCGCAGUCUUCCAGGUAAGACUCAAGACAGGCCAGCUCCCUCAAGGACUACAGCAGCAUCUCGGUAUUGUGUACCUGUGCACUGCUGGGGACCACACCCAGGGCCCUGUGCCUGCGGAAGUGGGCACCUGAUGACAGCUACACACACCCACAACCAUCAGACAUGUAACCAGGACUGUUACUGUGUUAGACCUUUCUCUAAUCAGCCAGUUACUUGCUUUCUCUCAGCAGUACUUGGUAUGUGCUUUUACGGGUCAAUGCAGAAAUCGAUGAUAGAAAGCACCAAGUGGCCAAGCUUUACCACUCAGUGACAGAGUUCCUUAAAGUCAUUCCAUGUGCAAGUUUCUCAUCCAAGCCUGAACCUUCACAUGCUAAAGAGGGGCUUACAGCCAAAGUCCCUCCAGGGUUCCUUUUUUUUUUUUUUAAAGACUCUCGUUAUGUAGCCCAGGCCAGGUUAGAACUGCUGUCCUCCUGCCUCAGCCUUACAGAGUACUGGCAUCACAGGUGUGUACCACAUGGGUGGCUCUUCCAGGGCUCUUGAUUUCAAUUAUCAUGGAGCAAAUGUUGAACCGUGUGUGGCACAAUCACAUCCUAGGAAGCUUUAUAAAGGCACACAAAUGAUUCUUCUUUUUCGCCCAGCUAAGAAAAUCACUAACCCAUCCUAUGAACAGAGAAAACAUUAAAAUUUCACAACAGGCUGGGCGUGGUAGCGCAUGUCUGUAAUCCCUGUACUUGGGAGGCUGAGCAGGAGGAUCACUAGGAGUUUGAGGCCAGUCUGAGCUCCAC